GAUCAUGGCUCAGGAUGAACGCUAGCGGCAGGCCUAACACAUGCAAGUCGAGGGGCAGCACGGUGUAGCAAUACACUGGUGGCGACCGGCGCACGGGUGCGUAACGCGUAUGCAACCUACCCAGUAACAGGGGGAUAACACUGAGAAAUUGGUACUAAUACCCCAUAACCAUCAGGACCGGCAUCGGUUCUGGUUGAAAACUCCGGUGGUUAUGGAUGGGCAUGCGUUGUAUUAGCUGGUUGG
rnacentral:rRNA from 1 species